rnacentral:ncRNA from 1 species
AUAGUCGUCGAUGUCGUCGGUUCCGUUUUUGGAGCCAAGAGGGAAUGCGGUGAGGGCUAACAUCCUGCCCAAAGCCGUGGCUGCCCCCGCAACUGUGUGCGGUAGUCCUCUCCAUAAACCACUGAGGUUGUCCUCGGGAAGGUGGGGAAGGGCGCGGAUCCGCGAGCCAGGAGACCUGCCGGCGACAUGAAAGUUGAC